rnacentral:rRNA from 1 species
CCUACGGGCGGCUGCAGUGGGGAAUAUUGGACAAUGGGGGCAACCCUGAUCCAGCCAUGCCGCGUGUGUGAAGAAGGCCCUCGGGUUGUAAAGCACUUUCAGUGAGGAAGAACGCCUGGUGGUUAAUACCCAUCAGGAAAGACAUCACUCACAGAAGAAGCACCGGCUAACUCCGUGCCAGCAGCCGCGAUAAUACGGAGGGUGCGAGCGUUAAUCGGAAUUACUGGGCGUAAAGCGCGCGUAGGUGGCUUGAUAAGCCGGUUGUGAAAGCCCCGGGCUCAACCUGGGAACGGCAUCCGGAACUGUCAAGCUAGAGUGCAGGAGAGGAAGGUAGAAUUCCCGGUGUAGCGGUGAAAUGCGUAGAGAUCGGGAGGAAUACCAGUGGCGAAGGCGGCCUUCUGGACUGACACUGACACUGAGGUGCGAAAGCGUGGGUAGCAAACAGGAUUAGAUACCCUUGUAGUC